CAGUCGCCGCGGUAAUACGAGGGGGGCGAGCGUUGUUCGGAAUUAUUGGGCGUAAAGGGUGCGUAGGCGGUUCGGUAAGUCUUAUGUGAAAUCUUCGGGCUCAACUCGAAGUCUGCAUGAGAAACUGCCGGGCUUGAGUGUGGGAGAGGUGAGUGGAAUUUCCGGUGUAGCGGUGAAAUGCGUAGAUAUCGGAAGGAACACCUGUGGCGAAAGCGGCUCACUGGACCACAACUGACGCUGAUGCACGAAAGCUAGGGGAGCAAACAGGAUUAGAUACCCCGGUAGUCCCUGUCUCUUAUAC
rnacentral:rRNA from 1 species